AAAUGAGCAAUUCAAUUUUGUAUUAUAUAUGUGAACUCCCAAGGAACAAAUGAGGAAAAAGAGAAAUACCAAUGGCUGUAUUACUUCCUUGCUCUCCCUCUUUUGAGAUACUGCCUCAGGCACUAACUUCCUUGUAAUAUAUUUCUAAGCUUUACCCAGCUUCCCUACCCAGAUCCAUCUUUUCCAAAGAGCUUCCCACAUUUCCAUCUUUUCUCUGUUGCCUCUUUACUUA
rnacentral:lncRNA from 1 species